UAAUACAUGCAAGUCGAACGCACUCUCGUUUAGAUUGAAGGAGCUUGCUCCUGAUUGAUAAACAUUUGAGUGAGUGGCGGACGGGUGAGUAACACGUGGGUAACCUGCCCUAAAGUGGGGGAUAACAUUUGGAAACAGAUGCUAAUACCGCAUAAAACCUAACACCGCAUGGUGUAGGGUUGAAAGAUGGUUUCGGCUAUCACUUUAGGAUGGACCCGCGGUGCAUUAGUUAGUUGGUGAGGUAAAGGCUCACCAAGACCGUGAUGCAUAGCCGACCUGAGAGGGUAAUCGGCCACACUGGGACUGAGACACGGCCCAGACUCCUACGGGAGGCAGCAGUAGGGAAUCUUCCACAAUGGACGAAAGUCUGAUGGAGCAACGCCGCGUGAGUGAAGAAGGUUUUCGGAUCGUAAAACUCUGUUGUUGGAGAAGAAUGUAUCUGAUAGUAACUGAUCAGGUAGUGACGGUAUCCAGCCAGAAAGCCACGGCUAACUACGUGCCAGCAGCCGCGGUAAUACGUAGGUGGCAAGCGUUGUCCGGAUUUAUUGGGCGUAAAGCGAGCGCAGGCGGUUUCUUAAGUCUGAUGUGAAAGCCUUCGGCUCAACCGAAGAAGUGCAUCGGAAACUGGGAAACUUGAGUGCAGAAGAGGACAGUGGAACUCCAUGUGUAGCGGUGAAAUGCGUAGAUAUAUGGAAGAACACCAGUGGCGAAGGCGGCUGUCUGGUCUGUAACUGACGCUGAGGCUCGAAAGCAUGGGUAGCAAACAGGAUUAGAUACCCUGGUAGUCCAUGCCGUAAACGAUGAGUGCUAGGUGUUGGAGGGUUUCCGCCCUUCAGUGCCGCAGCUAACGCAUUAAGCACUCCGCCUGGGGAGUACGACCGCAAGGUUGAAACUCAAAGGAAUUGACGGGGGCCCGCACAAGCGGUGGAGCAUGUGGUUUAAUUCGAAGCAACGCGAAGAACCUUACCAGGUCUUGACAUCCUUUGACCACUCUA
rnacentral:rRNA from 1 species